rnacentral:rRNA from 1 species
AGUGAACGCUGGCGGUAGGCCUAACACAUGCAAGUCGAACGGCAGCACAGUAAGAGCUUGCUCUUACGGGUGGCGAGUUGCGGACGGGUGAGGAAUACAUCGGAAUCUACUUUUUCGUGGGGGAUAACGUAGGGAAACUUACGCUAAUACCGCAUACGACCUACGGGUGAAAGCAGGGGAUCUUCGGACUUUGCGCGAUUGAAUGAGCCGAUGUCGGAUUAGCUAGUUGGCGGGGUAAAGGCCCACCAAGGCGACGAUCCGUAGCUGGUCUGAGAGGAUGAUCAGCGACUAUGGAAGUGAGACACGGUCCUGAGUCCUACAGGAGGCACCAGUGCGGAAUAUUGGCCCAUGGGGGCAAGCCUGAUCCAGCCAUACCGCGUGGGUGAAGAAGGCCUUCGGGUUGUAGAGCCCUUUUGUUGGGAAAGAAAAGCAGCAGGAUAAUACCCGGCUGUUCUGACGGUACCUAAAGAAUAAGCACCGGCUAACUUCGUG